CAGUCGCCGCGGUAAUACGUAGGUGGCAAGCGUCGUCCGGAAUUAUUGGGCGUAAAGGGCUCGCAGGCGGUUUCUUAAGUCUGAUGUGAAAGCCCCCGGCUCAACCGGGGAGGGUCAUUGGAAACUGGGAAACUUGAGUGCAGAAGAGGAGAGUGGAAUUCCACGUGUAGCGGUGAAAUGCGUAGAGAUGUGGAGGAACACCAGUGGCGAAGGCGACUCUCUGGUCUGUAACUGACGCUGAGGAGCGAAAGCGUGGGGAGCGAACAGGAUUAGAUACCCCAGUAGUCCCUGUCUCUUAUAA
rnacentral:rRNA from 1 species